CUCGCCACUAUUAAACAGGUUGGUUUCGCAGACAUUUCAUUGACCUGUGCUUGAAAUUAUUAGGGCAAUAUUUGUGGAAGAAACGACGCAAAAGAAAUAGACGAGGAAGAAGUAGUCAGCUGACAACAACCUCCGCCCAGGGCCACCUCCAUCAUGAAGGACCCCUCCCACCCCUCACAUGGACUGUUUGCUGCCCUUCCAUCAGGAAAGACACCGCACAGCAUCAGAACCCACACAUCAAGGUUCUGCAGUAGCUUCUACCCACAGGCAGUCAGACUGUUGAACACCCUGCGGCUACAACACGUAGACCUGCACCCAUCACCCCCAUACCCCAGUCACAUUAAUCUCACUCAGUAUCACCCCACUAGCAAGUAUGAUUGUGUCUGAUGUAUGCUUGUGCUUUUGUUUCUUUUUUUAAAUCUAGUUUAGUCUUUUUAAAUGAUCUUACAUUUAUUUUUACCUUAUAUUUAUUCUUAAGUUUUUAUAGUAUUACCCUCAUUUCUGCACUGUGAAUGGAUGUGAGAAACGCCAUUUCGUUUAACUGUGUGCUACGUACACUGCUGAGUGACAAUAAAGCUGAAGUUGAAGUUGAACAUGGAUUUUACUGCAUUGUGGUUUUAAUGUGCAGUUUUCUGUCAUUUCUGUGCAGGUUAAUCAUGUAAAACUCAGCCCACAGUUGAUUUUUUAGCAUAUACGAAGCUCUUUUGAUGUUCACAUUCUCAGUGGCAUGUUGGAAAUGUAUAGAAAUAUACCUAAUUAGAAUAAUGUUCAUUUAUUUGGUAUUUUAUUAGUACAUAAUUGAAAAUAAAUGGUUAAAUAGG